AGAGUUUGAUCCUGGCUCAGGAUGAACGCUAGCAGAACGCUUAACACAUGCAAGUCGAACGAAUUUGUAGCAAUACAAGUUAGUGGCAAACGGGCGCGUAACACGUAUCUAACCUGCCCUUGAGUGAGGCACAACUACAGAGAUGUAGCUAAUUCCUCAUACGCUCCACAAAAUGAAAAUAUGUGGAGGAAAGAUUUAUCGCUCAAGGAAGGGGAUGCGGCCUAUCAGAUAGUUGGUGAGGUAAUAGCUCACCAAGUCUAUGACGGGUAGCCGGUCUGAGAGGAUGUCCGGCCGCAAUGGAACUGAGAAACGGUCCAUACUCCUACGGGAGGCAGCAGUGGGGAAUAUUGGACAAUGGGCGAAAGCCUGAUCCAGCGAUCCUGCGUGAAGGAUGAAGCCUCGUGGGGUGUAAACUUCUUUUCUGGGGGAAGACGAAUGACGGUACCUCAGGAAUAAGAGACGGCUAACUACGUGCCAGCAGCCGCGGUAAUACGUAGGUCUCGAGCGUUAUCCGGAAUUACUGGGCGUAAAGCGUCUGCAGCCGGGUAUAUAAGUCUGUCUUUAAAUACUCUGAUUCAAUCUGAGAAAAGGGAUAGAUACUGUAUACCUAGAGGAUUUUAGAGGUUAGUGGAAUUUCCGGUGGAGCGGUGAAAUGUGUUGAUAUCGGAAGGAAUGCCGAAAGCGAAAGCAGCUAACUAUAAAAUAUCUGACGGUCAGAGACGAAAGCUUGGUAGCAAACGGGAUUAGAUACCCCGGUAGUCCAAGCCGUAAAUGAUGCUUGCUAGGUGUUUGAUUCGCUUCUGCGGAUUGAGUGCCGAACCUAACGGAUUAAGCAAGCCGCCUG
rnacentral:rRNA from 1 species